UUUAGACACGUACCAUCAUUUGGCAACAGAGAUUGAACAUCAUCACCAUUAUUGUCCUCCUCUUCCUGCUUCUGGCCAUUUUCUCCAUUUCCUAUGAGAAGACACGUACCAUCAUUUGGCAGCAGAGAUUGAACAUCAUCACCAUUAUUGUCCUCCUCUUCCUGCUUCUGACCAUUUUCUCCAUUUCCUAUGAGAAGACACGCACCGUCUGGCUGUUGGGAUGGAACUUCAUCAUUUUGGGAUGUGUCGAAUUCCUCUUCCCUCUGGCAGUCUUUUCCUUCUGCUUAGAGAAAGUGAUGUAUGUGUAAGAUGCAAAGUGCAUCAAUAUGAGGUUUGCUUGUAAUGACUGAAUAAUGUAGAAGUACUUCUUUUUUCCACGAGGUAUUUAUUUAGGCAGUCUCCA